rnacentral:lncRNA from 1 species
GACAGCUUUUUAACCACCCUGGAGCCCUCUCCCAAGCAGUGCACCAGAUGGAAACAAAGAUUUUUGCAGAACAAUAAAAGAAAAGAAAGAACUGGAGAAUUUGCAUAGUGCAUUACUAGCAACCACAAGGGUCUACUCUGUGUUAAAAAUGGUUAACACUUGUCGUUCAUUAUCCUUGUUUUACAGGUCCUGGGAGCAGUCGCUACCACCUUCAAGCAAAACCGAGUCAGCUAGCCUGUAAGGGCCCAAGGGAUGGAGUCUAUGUCUGUAACCCCAGUACCUAGCACAGUGCCAGACACAGAGUAGGUAAGUAAUAAAUAUUUAUUUAUUGA